ACCUCAAGUCACCUAAACAGGCAGCUCUAGGAAGACUGACACUGCACUUUGGCAGGGCAGCUGUUUGCGGUAUCGUAUCAAUGUUUCAUCGUACAAGUUGGUCGUUAAGAUAUGGGUAUGAUGCCCACAAAAUGGACUCUAGUGUUGGAGCUGGUUUGAGAUCGACUGGACACAAAGGUGACUAGCUAGACAUACCAACUCUGUAGUAUUGUGUUGCUACACUGACAGUGAUCGAUCUCUACAGAACAAAUCUGGUUGUGCGACAAUUCAUGCAGUGUCACGUGACCUUCAUCUGAUCAGUUUUCCCUUCUACCUUGCGAUCAUUAGUGGAAUUAAUCACAACCGAAACGAGCACUUUCGCUAAAGUUUCGAACGACACUCUUCAGAAGGUGUCAUGCCGUCACAAUGCAUGACGUAACUGAUCUCAGCGGAAGUGGGUGGUGUGAACGAUUCUUCUGUUGCGGUACAAAACGCGGGCGAAUUUGCUCUUGCCUCAGUUUCAGAAAGCAGGAAUGGUUAUGACGUGCAUUCUAGAAACUCUCCUGGUUUUUGUAGCCUGUCAACUGACGACUGUCGCCGUUCAAGGCGAGGAAGAAGGUGCGUCAUACAUCUGGAAAACUGGCGAAUUCUCGGCCUGUUCUCAAACGUGUGACGGACAGAGAGAACGCCGCGUCGUUUGCCAAGGCAGGAAGAGCGAUGGCUCGACGUUCGACGCUAAUUUGGAAGAUUGUAACCCACAAGUGAAACCAGUCAGUACCAAGUCGUGUGGUAGUGAAUGCCCAGAAUACGGCUGGCUCAAAGAGAAAUACGGGAAAUGCGACGCGACGUGUUCGACGAAUGACGGAAAGGGCAAUCGGACACGGCGCGUUUGGUGUUCGAAAAAGGUCGGAACGCACAGGAAAGUCACAAAAGAUGAACAUUGCAUCAUUGCUCUGAGGCAUCCGAAGCCGCCAUCUCGCAAGAGCUGUCACGUGAAGUGUAGCGUCAUCGUCGGUACUUGCAGGUAACUUAGAGUCCAUGAGUUCAACGUUUAUUCGCGUCUUUGAGUUUAUCUAUCUAGAUUUCAACUGGGACCGUACGGUCCAUGCACGCAAACGUGCGCCGGUGGCACACAGACCCGUUCCGUUUCCUGCAUUUGUAAUUACACCGACGGCCAAUUGAGAACGGUCCAAGGUAUUAAACGCUGUUUGCGAGAUAAUCCGGGAUCGAUCCCGAUCCACAAACGCUCGUGUGGUGCCAUUUGUCCGUCUUGGCACGUCGGUGAGUGGGCCAGUUGUCUGACUGCCAACGGACGGAAAAUCAGAAGACGACAAGUCGCCUGUCUGAACGGAACGACGCGAAUCGAUGAAACGAAUUGCCUCUCCGACGGUCGGAAGCCACGAACAAAAGAAAGCUGCGACCUACUCGUUCCUCCUCAGAUUGUCGUUUCUGUGACUAUACAUAAGGAGCCUUCGAUGUCAACGUUGAUGACGACUAGGGAGCCUUUGCAUUUAACAUUGAAGAACGAGACGUACCAAAUCUAUACUAUCGGAGACGAAAUCCGCGUUCUUGUUGGCACAGAUGUCGGUAUCGUUUGCGCAUUAGAACAGGAUGACCCGCCUGCUGAUAUCACGUGGUUGCUACCCGGCAAUUACCGCAUGCGUGACGGUGCUACCAGAAGAAGAAUCUCGUCUUCAGGCAACUCUUCGAUUACUUCAACUCUUCUGAUUAAAAAUGCCAACAAACAUAACAACGGCAACUACACUUGUAUUGCAGAGAAUGGAGCAGGUCAAACAAAUGCCACUUCAAGUCUAGUCGUAUACCAUAUACAAGUGCCGGGCGCGAGUGAGUGUCAUGACUUAUUACCAAAUGGUCUAUGUGAGCAUAUCAGUCUACGUUGUGACUCAGCGUUGGCAGAGAUUUGCUGUAAAUCUUGUGAGGAAGUUCAAGACUAGGGUAGUUGUCGUAACUAUAUCUAUGCAGGAUAGGACGCUUUUCUUGUUUCCUUUAAUAUUAGACUGUUUUCUGCUUAGUGAAAUGUUCUGUUAGAGAUGCCAUCGCAACUAAAUAGCAGCUAAACAAAUAUUCAAAGAGAUGCUUGUAUACUAUG